rnacentral:rRNA from 1 species
GAAUAUUGGACAAUGGGGGCAACCCUGAUCCAGCCAUGCCGCGUGAGUGAAGAAGGCCUUAGGGUUGUAAAGCACUUUCGAUCGGGAUGAUAACGACGGUAGCGGUAGAAGAAGCUCCGGCUAACUCCGUGCCAGCAGCCGCGGUAAUACGGAGGGAGCUAGCGUUGUUCGGAAUUACUGGGCGUAAAGCGCGCGUAGGCGGCUUGACAAGUAGAGGGUGAAAUCCCGGGGCUUAACCUCGGAACUGCCCUCAAAACUGUUGAGCUAGAGACAUGGAGAGGUGAGUAGAAUUCCUAGUGUAGAGGUGAAAUUCGUAGAUAUUAGGAAGAAUACCAGUGGCGAAGGCGGCUCACUGGCCAUGUACUGACGCUGAGGUGCGAAAGCGUGGGGAGCGAACAGGAUUAGAUACCCUGGUAGUCCACGCCGUAAACGAUGAAUGCUAGAUGUNGGGCAGCUUGCUGUUCAGUGUCGCAGCUAACGCAUUAAGCAUUCCGCCUGGGGAGUACGGUCGCAAGAUUAAAACUCAAAGGAAUUGACG